rnacentral:misc_RNA from 1 species
GCAUGGCAGCUCCAGCUUCAGAUUCUGCAUUGGUUACACUUUUUUGUGGUUGGGCUUGUAAAGGUCGUCCUAGGAACAUUUGUUUGUCUUCAGGUGCCAUUGGCUGUUGUCCUGUGAGAAUUCUGACUGGAAGUCUGGAGGAUACCAAAAAAUCGAUCUGUGAGAGCAAUCCUGUGUUAUCGAUAAAUGGAAAAUCUUCUUUUAUCCGAGCAGAUGAUAGUAAAAGGCCAGCUAGGCAUGGAAACCUAGUAUUACAGGAAGACAGUGAUGCUUGUCAAUCUUUAGGGACUGUUAAUAUCCCAAAAUUAUCUUGUAGUAGUAAGUCCUGCUGUGUCCCUGGGUUAGGAGUG